GACGAACGCUGGCGGCGUGCUUAACACAUGCAAGUCGAACGGAAAGGCGCUGCUCUUGUUGCGUUCUCGUUUGGCGAACGGGUGAGUAACACGCGAGUAACCUCUCCUUGACUUUGGGAUAACAUCAGGAAACUGGGGCUCAUACCGCAUAGGAUCUCCUGCUGCAUGGUGUGGGAUGGAAAGAUUCGGCGGUUGGGGAUGGACUCGCGGGUUAUCAGCUUGUUGGUGGAGUAGGUGCUUACCAAGGGUUCGACGGAUAGCCGGCCUGAGAGGGUGAACGGCGUCAUUAGGACUGAGAUACGGACCAGUAUCGUACGGGAGGCAGUAGGGGGGAGUAUGGCACAAUAAGCGGAAGCCAGAUGCAGCAGCGCCGCGUGCGGGAUACCGGCUUUCGGGGUAUAAACCGCUUUCGCAUGAGACGAAGCGAGCGUGACGGUAAUGGGUAAAGAAGCACCGGCUAACUACGUG
rnacentral:rRNA from 1 species